rnacentral:rRNA from 1 species
GACGAACGCUGGCGGCGUGCUUAACACAUGCAAGUCGAGCGGAGCGGCGAACGGGUGAGUAACGCGUGGGUAACUGCCCCCCUCUCUGGGAAAACAGUUGGAAACGGCUGCUAAUACCGGCUAGUGGGGGAUGACUCGGGUCCAACGAGCUUGUUGGUGGGGUAGUGGCCUACCAAGGCGACGACGGGUAGCCGGCCUGAGAGGUCGACCGGCCACAAUGGGCUGAGAUACGGACCAAACGCCUACGGGAGGCAACGGUGGGGAGUAUUGCACAGUAGGGGAAACCCUGAUGCAGCAGCGCCGCGUGCGGGAUGACGGCCUUCGGGUUGUAAACCGCUUUCAGCCAUGACGCGGUAGUGGCAGAAGAAGCACCGGCUAACUACGUGCCAGCCGCCGCGGUAAUAC